rnacentral:piRNA from 1 species
CAUUUGGAACCAGAGGGAGGGC